rnacentral:miRNA from 1 species
CCUCUGAGAUCUUGCUAGGCGCU